rnacentral:lncRNA from 1 species
UUUUUUUUUUUUUUUUUUAGAUGACAAUAAAUUUUUAUUUUUUUGCUAAGAAAAUAGAAGUCCGCUGAAGCAGCGUGUGUGUGUGUGUGUGUGCAUGGAGCCCGGGGCAGAUGUGCAGCUCCAUGCCCUGCUGAGGGGCUCAGGGAGGUGUGAACUCUGGGCGGUGGAACCCUCGAAACAACAGUCUAGAGCUAGAUCUGCUUUCUCCCUUUCAGGUGACCAAGAAUAAUUUCUUCCUGAGCUCCCUUCUGGAUCAAGCCCCAUUUCUCAGUGUGGGUGGGUGGGAUUGCCCUUCACCUGUAUGACCAAGGUGCAAUGGAAGAGGGGGGAUGGCGAUGCAGUGUGGUUGGGUGGGGCAGAGAAUCAUAGAACCAGAAUGGUUUGGGUUGGAAGGAACUUUAAAGAUCAUCUGGUUUCAACACCCUUGCUAUGGGCAAAGGCCAUUUAAAUCACCCAGUUUUUAUUACAGAUUAUUAGUAGUACAGUAAAAUUCCGGAGGCUGCCUCCCCCCUUCUCUCUUACAUUGUAGCAGUCUGCCUGUGUUGGGGUUCUUCACCAGGAUGAUGAUGAUGGGGGUUUCUUCCUCCUCAACUUAAAUUUGCUAGGAGCUGGUUUUGUGUGCUUCAAGCCAUACCUUUUUAAUGCUUAGGCUGUUCUCCUGGUCCAUGGGGUUAGUUAAACAGUCCAAGCAUAACAUUUAUUUCUUUCUCUGUAAAGGGUAUGAUUUCUUUUUGGAUGGGACUCACACAACUGUCCAGGGCUGAGCAAAACAUUAAGCUACACUACCUUGGAUAAUAAAGUGCCAACAACCCCAACCUGAGGUUUGCCUGUGUCAGCCGCUCUUGGGGCCACACUGGUUGCUGCGGUGAGGCCAGCCUGGAUGAUGGGCAGCCCAGGGAAAGUUAAAGCACAACCAUUUAAACUUAGAGCUAAACCCAAGGCUCAGCACUGUGUAACAGCCUUGCAAUGGAGCAUGAGGCCAGGUGCUAGCAGAUGCCAAAUGAGCUGCAGGGUGCAUGGGGCUUCCCGUCACUGGGAGCAGCAGCAGCAACCUGGGAUGGCGUCUCCUCUACGUGCAGGGACCCUUCUCCAGUACCUUAUCUCUCUGCAGAGCUACAAAGGGGUGGGGAGGGGCUGAAACGAGUGACUUAAACCAGCAAAUGGUUUCUUGUGAGCCAGCAGCACCUUAAUCCUCUUUCUUCAGGUUUGAUUGAGCCUUGGCACAUCACACAACACAAAAGGAGCUCAUUGGGUUUUUUCCCAUCCCCGCAUUGAGAGCUUGUCCUGAAUUGACCCUGUGGUUGCUCUGCCCAGUGGGUGCUCAGGCACCCAGGAGGGUGAUGCUUCUAGUUCCCCAGGACAUGGCAGCUCCCAGAUACCCACUGCAGCUCAAGCACAGCACCCCCUUGCAGGGCGAGGGCAGAGGGACCUCCCCAUUUAUAAUUAGUAAUGAUUAGUAAUAAAUGCAGCUAAAGUGAGCUCCAAAAAGCACCAGCAAAUGGAAUCACAGAAUCAUUUAGGUUGGAAAAGACCUUUAAGAUCAUCAAGUCCCACUGUUAACCCAGCA